GGAGGGUGCAAGCGUUAAUCGGAAUUACUGGGCGUAAGGCGCACGCAGGCGGUUUGUUAAGUCAGAUGUGAAAUCCCCGGGCUCAACCUGGGAACUGCAUCUGAUACUGGCAAGCUUGAGUCUCGUAGAGGGGGGUAGAAUUCCAGGUGUAGCGGUGAAAUGCGUAGAGAUCUGGAGGAAUACCGGUGGCGAAGGCGGCCCCCUGGACGAAGACUGACGCUCAGGUGCGAAAGCGUGGGGAGCAAACAGGGAUUAGAUACCCUGGUAGUCCACGCCGUAAACGAUGUCGACUUGGAGGUUGUGCCCCUUGAGGCGUGGCUUCCGGAGCUAACGCGUUAAGUCGACCGCCUGGGGAGUACAGCCGCAAGGUUA
rnacentral:rRNA from 1 species